rnacentral:rRNA from 1 species
CGAAAGCCUGACGGGGCAACGCCGCGUGAGGGAUGAAGGCCUCUGGGCUGUAAACCUCUUUUCUCAAGGAAGAAGAUCUGACGGUACUUGAGGAAUAAGCCACGGCUAAUUCCGUGCCAGCAGCCGCGGUAAUACGGGAGUGGCAAGCGUUAUCCGGAAUUAUUGGGCGUAAAGCGUCCGCAGGCGGCCUUUCAAGUCUGCUGUUAAGCCGUGGAGCUUAACUCCAUCAAGGCAGUGGAAACUGUUGGGCUUGAGUAUGGUAGGGGCAGAGGGAAUUCCCGGUGUAGCGGUGAAAUGCGUAGAUAUCGGGAAGAACACCAGUGGCGAAGGCGCUCUGCUUGGGCCAUUACUGACGCUCAUGGACGAAAGCCAGGGGA